GCCUGGGUGGCUCAGUCGGUUAAGCAUCUGACUUCGGCUCAGGUCCUGAUCUCAGGGUCAUGGGUUCGAGCCCCACGUCGGGCU
rnacentral:tRNA from 1 species